rnacentral:tRNA from 1 species
GGAGUAGAUGGGCACUGGUGUGUCCCCUGGACUUCAAAUCCAGUGGCGGGCAGAGAUCCUGUCCGCGGUGGGUUCGAUUCCCAUGUACUCCC